rnacentral:rRNA from 1 species
UACGUAGGGGGCAAGCGUUGUCCGGAAUCAUUGGGCGUAAAGCGUGCGUAGGCGGCCCGGUAAGUCCGCUGUAAAAGUCAAAGGCUCAACCUUUGAAUGCCGGUGGAUACUGUCGGGCUAGAGUCCGGAAGAGGCGAGUGGAAUUCCUGGUGUAGCGGUGGAAUGCGCAGAUAUCAGGAGGAACACCAAUAGCGAAGGCAGCUCGCUGGGACGGUACUGACGCUGAGGCGCGAAAGCGUGGGGAGCGAACAGG